AGGAUAUAACUCAGUGAUAGAGCACCUGUCUAGCAUUCAUGAGGCCCUGGGUUCAAUCCCCAGUACUACUA
rfam:Ictidomys tridecemlineatus contig072992, whole genome shotgun sequence.